CGUGCUUGUUACAAAAGUAAUUUAACUAGCUUUCGAAUGACAUCAAAUUUGACCAUAUUUGUCACUGCAACUGGACUU